rnacentral:rRNA from 1 species
GAUGAACGCUAGCUACAGGCUUAACACAUGCAAGUCGAGGGGAAACGACAUCGAAAUCUUGCUUUUGAUGGGCGUCGACCGGCGCACGGGUGAGUAACGCGUAUCCCACCUGCCCAUCACUUGGGAAUAACCUUCCGAAAGUAAUACUAAUUCCCAAUGACAUCCCACGAAGACAUCUGAAUGGGAUUAAAGAUUUAUCGGUGAUGGAUGGGUAUGCGUCUGAUUAGCUUGUUGGCGGGGUAACGGCCUACCAAGGCAACGAUCAGUAGGUGUUCUGAGAGGAAGGUCCCCCACAUUGGAACUGAGACCCGGUCCAAAAUCCUACGGGGGGCAGCAGUGAGGAAUAUUGGUCAAUGGGCGAGAGCCUGAACCAGCCAAGUAGCGUGCAGGAUGACGGCCCUAUGGGUUGUAAACUGCUUUUAUAAGGGAAUAAAGUGAGUCUCGUGAGACUUUUUGCAUGUACCUUAUGAAUAAGGACCGGCUAAUUACGUG